rnacentral:rRNA from 1 species
UACAGAGGGUGCAAGCGUUGUUCGGAAUUACUGGGCGUAAAGGGCGCGUAGGCGGCCUUCUAAGUCGAACGUGAAAUCCCCGGGCUCAACCCGGGAACUGCGUCCGAUACUGGAAGGCUUGAAUCCGGGAGAGGGAUGCGGAAUUCCAGGUGUAGCGGUGAAAUGCGUAGAUAUCUGGAGGAACACCGGUGGCGAAGGCGGGUCUCUGGGCAUUUCCUGACGCUGAGGCGCGAAAGCGUGGGGAGCAAACGGG